GGUGGCGGCUAUACUGGAGUUGUUCCACCUGUUCCCAUACCGAACACAGAAGUGAAAUACUCCAAGGCCGAUGAUAUUGCCUUUCGGGGUGAGAAAGUAGGUAGCUGCCACCA
rnacentral:rRNA from 1 species